rnacentral:rRNA from 1 species
GAUGAACGCUAGCGGCAAGCUUAAUACAUGCAAGUCGAGGGGCAGCAUGAAGUAGCAAUACUUUGAUGGCGACCGGCAAACGGGUGCGGAACACGUACACAACCUUCCUUUUAGUGGGGAAUAGCCCAGAGAAAUUUGGAUUAAUACCCCGUAACAUAACUGAGUGGCAUCACUUGGUUAUUAUAGCUUCGGCGCUAAAUGAUGGGUGUGCGUAUGAUUAGAUAGUUGGCGAGGUAACGGCUCACCAAGUCUACGAUCAUUAGCUGAUGUGAGAGCAUGAUCAGCCACACGGGCACUGAGACACGGGCCCGACUCCUACGGGAGGCAGCAGUAAGGAAUAUUGGUCAAUGGACGCAAGUCUGAACCAGCUAUGCCGCGUGAAGGAUUGAGGUCCUCUGGAUUGUAAACUUCUUUUAUCUGGGACGAAAAAAGGUCUUUCUAGACCCCUUGACGGUACCAGAUGAAUAAGCACCGGCUAACUCCGUGCCAGCAGCCGCGGUAAUACGGUGGGCGCAAGCGUUAUCCGGAUUCACUGGGUUUAAAGGGUGCGUAGGCGGGUAGGUAAGUCAGUGGUGAAAUCCUGGAGCUCAACUCCAGAACUGCCAUUGAUACUAUCUAUCUUGAAUAUUGUGGAGGUAAGCGGAAUAUGUCAUGUAGCGGUGAAAUGCUUAGAUAUGACAUAGAACACCCAUUGCGAAGGCAGCUUACUACGCAUAUAUUGACGCUGAGGCACGAAAGCGUGGGGAUCAAACAGGAUUAGAUACCCUGGUAGUCCACGCCCUAAACGAUGGAUACUCGACAUACGCGAUACACUGUGUGUGUCUGAGCGAAAGCAUUAAGUAUCCCACCUGGGAAGUACGUUCGCAAGAAUG